AUGGGCCCCGGGCCAGUGUGGUUGGUGGCCGUUUGUGUACUGGGAGCAGGCCCCGCGGAUGCCAGAGUCACCCAAACCCCCAGACACCUGAUCACCGGCCCGGGAUAUAAUGUGACGCUGAGCUGUGAGCAUGACCGGACCCACAACUACAUGUACUGGUACCGGCAGGACCCAGGGCAGGGACCAAUCUUCAUGUUUUACUUUGGAAAUCGGGAGCUUUUGGAUAACUUGACAGUCUCACACCGUUUCCAGCCGCACUGUCCGAGUGCCGGUGACUGUUCCCUGGACAUCAGGCCUGCAGAGCUGGGCGACUCCUCGGUGUUUCUGUGUGCCAGCAGUGAUCCCACCUCUGUGACCGUGACCAACAUCAUCAGCAUCUACUGA